CCAAAACUUGCUGAGCUUGGCCUUGGGUGUCACUGGGUCUUUCUUUGGUUUCUGCCAUCCUGCUAGUACUGCCUCGUGAAGUGGCCAGGUUUCAGCGAGGCAGCGCAUGUAAUGGCUGUCCAAACACACCAGGCACAAAUGCUCCGUAAACGAUAGUCGCUGUCUUUGUUACUUCUUUUAUUGUCAUCAUGUUACUGUUUGCUGUAUGCCUGUCUAGAAGGCCGUGUGCACUAGGUCAAAAGUUGCACAUGAUUUCUCCGUUUGGGGGAAUACUGCCAAAUUACCAUACAGAAAGGAUGUACCAAAUUACUCUUCCACCAGCAGGACGAAGUGAUAUUCAUUUCAUCUUGAGGUCCUAAGUGUUGAGCGACCGGGAUUCCUAAAGUCAGAGCCAGAUCACAGAAACUCCGGAUCCGCCCAAGACCAGGAGGUAACACUCUCGUCAGGAGCCUCUGCUUAGACUUUUAGGAGGGUGCCUGCACCGCCCGAUGGCAGAGACACCAGGAGGAGGCUACCUGCACACUGGGUUCUUCCUCUCUCCAGGAAGAGGGAUAUCGGCGCCGCGCGCGGCACAGUCCUGGCGCGGCGACGCGCAGGGACGCGCGGGCUGGAGUGGCUUCUGCCCCUCCUCCUACGGAGCGGUGUAGAGACCCGGUGCGGGUCUCUCCUGCCGUACCAGCAGCUCCCGACCUGGCUGGGCUGGACUGAGCCCCAACAGCGCGUCUUGGACGUGCCAGUCACAGGAGGAGGUACUGGGGAAGGUGCAACAAUGUGAAAAAGAACGCAUUCCAUGUAUGGAUUUUCACACUGGCGCAAGAUCUGAUCACCUUCCUGGUUACCCUUUCUUUGACUAAAUUUUAUUUUGAAGUGGGACCCUGUAGGUAGGCACUUGAGAGGCAUUCCUAAAUUUAUAUAUCCUUCUAUUGUUUUUUCUUCAAAAA